UGCCUUGGGGCCGUUUUAGAAGCCAGAGUUUGUGAAAAAUGUGUCUUUUUUUUUCUAAAAAAAAGAAUGUCUGGCCCACGUGACGUACAGACUCACCACAAAUACAAAAUUUCUUUAUCCACAUGAAUAGAGUUUCCUAUAUAUUUGCACGGUGUACCACCUUAUACAAUGAGAUCCAAGACCACAAUUACAUUCCAUAUUCACAACAACUCAUAAAUAACCGUCUACAUCAACAUCUAUGAAAUGCUCCCCAACCGGAAACUUUACUUUUACAUUCUAAGAAGACAUCAACUGAAAGCCUUUCAAAAUCCACUUUGAAAAACAGUUUUCCACACGAAAACGAUGUAUUUUGAAAAACAACACUACCACUACAACAAAAACGGUCUAUAGCGACACUUUUAAAUAUCGGUAUAGGUAAAAAAAAAAUAUUACUGGCUAAAUUACCGACACUUUUAAAAAGUGUUGCUAUAUGUAGGGCUGGCAAACGAGCGAGCCGGCUCGCGUUCGACUAGUGUUCGGCUCGAUAUUUGGCUCGCUCGAGCUCGACUCGAAAUUAAAUGAGCUGAGCUUGAACAAAAUAAAAGGCUCGAAAUUCAUUUCAAGCCGAGCUUGAGUAUUACUCGGCUCGUUCGAAUUAGGCUCAAAAAGCUCAAAAAGCUCGAAUAUAUAUAUAUAUAUAUAUAUAUAUAUAUAUAAUGUAUUUUAAUUAUAUAUAGGCUUUAAUUUAAUUUGGGCUAUUAUUGUUGGCCCAUAAAAUAAACCCAACAAGUACAACCGUGCAAUUGAGCCCAACUCUAAAUUUACAUAACACACUCUCUCUUUCGGACUUUCACUGUUGCACAUAACCCUAAAACAUGAUAACAUUCAAAUUCCCAAAUCUCUAAUUUUUUUUCCUCUCUCUCUCUCUCUGACCCUCACCCAGUCAGGCAGUCACCCUAGCUCACAUUUCUUACAAUUAUUUUGUAUUUUGAACUAUUGAACAUGUUGCAUCAAAUUAUAGGUAAUGUUCUAUAAAAAUUAAACUAUUGAUUAUAUAAUGUCGAGAAUUUCAAUCGGCUCGUUUAGAGCUCGAGCUCGGCUCGACUCGAAAUUAGGCUCGCUCGAGCUCGGCUCGAAUUAAUUUCAAGCCGAGCUUGAGCCUAGAUUUAGGCUCGAAAUUAAUUUCAAGCCGAAUUUGAGCUGACAUAAGCUCGCUCGAGCUCGGCUCGUUUCCACCCCUAGCUAUAUGUGGGGUCGCUAGGUAUAUAGUGACAGCUAAAGAGUGUCGCUAUAAUCUAAAAAGAGUGCUGCUAAUUUAUCAACACUUAUUUAAGCAUUUACAACCGUCGGAACUCUAUCUUAUUGGCUACGGUGGCGGAGGAGGAGGAGAGGGAAGGACUCUUUGUCUAGAAUUUCAGUGAAUUAAGUGAGGGGAGAAGGGGAGAUGGUAAUCGAUUUUUUUUUUUUUUCUUUUCUGUUUAUAAUCGGGCCGAAUGGGCUGUGUGAGAUAGGUUGAGUAGAAUAAUCUUUUAUUUUUUGUUGGAUUGGGCUUUAUAUUUAGCAUUAGUAAAUUUUUUUUUAAAGUUUUGGCAUAAAUAGGACACUUACACAAAAGUGUCCCAAACAUGUGUCCCUAUAAUCUAAUUCUGUUGUAGUGUACUACAAAAUUAGUCAUAGUGACUUUUAUCUAUACUGUUAGAAGAUCAACGAAUGCUGCUAAAAGUUUAGCAACAUAUGACACCAAAUGCCCAUGCCAAUGUUGCCAAAAGUAUUAGCAAUAUUUAUAAUGAAUGCUGCUAAUAUAAAUCAGUUGGUGUAAUCAGGAACAUGCCAUUAAAAGGGCGUAAUACAAAUUCCAAAUUUUGGGACUACAAUUUUAAAAUUUUAAUUUUACUUUAUAUUUAAUUUUUAAAUUUAAAUUCAAAUUUAUAUUUAUAUCUAUAUUUACAUUUGAAUUUUUUUUGAGAGAAAGGUAGCAUGCUAGCUUCUUCGUUUAUUACUUUUAGAAUGUGAAUAAACUAAAAUUCGAACUUGGGAUCUCGGGUACCAACCACCAAGCCAUUUGCCGCUUGCUUCGGUUAUAUACAUUUAAACUUUUUUAAAUUUCAAAAUUUAAAUUUACAAUUUUAAAAUUUUAAAAUUUAAAUUCUAAAUUUAGAUAUUAAAUUUAGAUUUUUAAUUUUCAAAUAUCAAAUUUUAAGUUUCAAAAUUCACAGUUUUAAAAUUAAAAUUUAAAAUUUAAGAUAAAAUUAAAAAUUAAAAAUUAAAAUUUUAUAAAUUUAAAAUAUAAAAUUUUAAAACCUUAAAACUUAAAGUAUAAGUUUCAAAAUUUUACACUUUAAUUUUAAAAUCUUUGAUUCUAAGUAUAAAAUGGGAUAUAUUGAUAAUUAUAUAAUGAUUAGUGACGAUAUUUAGCAAUAAGCGCUAGCCCUUUAUUACAUUUAGUAUCAUCUUUUAUAAAAUACUAGAAACUUCCGUGGCGUUCACUAAUUUACGAUGCUAAUUUAUCCUAUUUUGUAAUAUUAAUGUAAAUUACUGCAAAAUUAUUAAAUCUAGCGGUAAUUAUCAAGUAAUAUUAUUAAAUAUAUUAAUUAGCAUAAUUUAAAUAAAUGUUGUGAAGUAAAUGCCACGAUAUUUAGCAAUAAAUGCUGCUACUUUGUUACAUUUAGUAUAUUUUUACAAAAUGCUGAAAAUUUUAGCGGCAUUCACUAAUUUAUGCUAGUAAUUUAUCCCAUUUUGCAAUAUUAAUGAUAAAUUAUUGCUAAAUUAUUAAAUCUAGCGGCAAUUAUCAAGUAAUGCUGUUAUAUAUAGUAAUUAAUAUGAUUUAAAUAAAUGCUGCGGAGUAAAUGCUGCUAAAUGAUAAAUUUGUUAUAGUGCGACUACCACGAGAGGUAGAA
rnacentral:lncRNA from 1 species